UACAGAGGUCUCAAGCGUUGUUCGGAUUCAUUGGGCGUAAAGGGUGCGUAGGCGGUGCAGCAAGUCGGGUGUGAAAUCCCUCAGCUCAACUGAGGAAUGGCGCCCGAAACUGCUGUGCUCGAGGAAGAUAGAGGUACGCGGAACUUAGGGUGGAGCGGUGAAAUGCGUUGAUAUCCUAAGGAACACCGGUGGCGAAAGCGGCGUACUGGGUCUUUUCUGACGCUGAGGCACGAAAGCUAGGGUAGCGAACGGG
rnacentral:rRNA from 1 species